GACGAACGCUGGCGGCAUGCCUAAUACAUGCAAGUCGAACGCUAAAGCACUCUGCUUGCAGAGUGCGGAUGAGUGGCGAACGGGUGAGUAACACGUGGGAAAUCUGCCUAGGAGUGGGGGAUAACAUUCGGAAACGGAUGCUAAUACCGCAUAUCUUUUUGAACCGCAUGGUUCUUAAACGAAAGACGGCUUCGGCUGUCGCUCUUAGAUGAUCCCGCGGCGUAUUAGUUAGUUGGUGGGGUAAAGGCCACCAAGCCGACGAUCUUUAGCUGGUCUGAGAGGAUGAUCAGCCACACUGGGACUGAGACACGGCCCAG
rnacentral:rRNA from 1 species